AUUGAACGCUGGCGGCAUGCCUUACACAUGCAAGUCGAACGGUAACAGGUCUUCGGAUGCUGACGAGUGGCGAACGGGUGAGUAAUACAUCGGAACGUGCCUAGUAGUGGGGGAUAGCCCUCCGAAAGGAGGAUUAAUAUCGCAUAAGAAGUAAGAAUCGCAUGAUUCUAGCUUUAAAGGAGUCUUCUUCUUACGAAGAAGCAUCCGCUAUGAGAUGGACCCGCGGCGCAUUAGCUAGUUGGUGAGGUAACGGCUCACCAAGGCCACGAUGCGUAGCCGACCUGAGAGGGUGAUCGGCCACAUUGGAACUGAGAUACGGUCCAGACUCCUACGGGAGGCAGCAGUGGGGAAUAUUGCACAAUGGGCGAAAGCCUGAUGCAGCAACGCCGCGUGAGUGAUGAAGGCCUUCGGGUUGUAAAGCUCUGUCUUUUGGGACGAUAAUGACGGUACCAAAGGAGGAAGCCACGGCUAACUACGUGCCAGCAGCCGCCGUAAAAC
rnacentral:rRNA from 1 species